rnacentral:rRNA from 1 species
UGGGGAAUAUUGCACAAUGGGCGCAAGCCUGAUGCAGCCAUGCCGCGUGUGUGAAGAAGGCCUUCGGGUUGUAAAGCACUUUCAGCGGGGAGGAAGGCGAUAAGGUUAAUAACCUUGUCGAUUGACGUUACCCGCAGAAGAAGCACCGGCUAACUCCGUGCCAGCAGCCGCGGUAAUACGGAGGGUGCAAGCGUUAAUCGGAAUUACUGGGCGUAAAGCGCACGCAGGCGGUCUGUCAAGUCGGAUGUGAAAUCCCCGGGCUUAACCUGGGAACUGCAUUCGAAACUGGCAGGCUAGAGUCUUGUAGAGGGGGGUAGAAUUCCAGGUGUAGCCGUGAAAUGCGUAGAGAUCUGGAGGAAUACCGGUGGCGAAGGCGGCCCCCUGGACAAAGACUUACGCUCAGGUGCGAAAGCGUGGGGAGCAAACAGG